rnacentral:rRNA from 1 species
UUUAAUUAUGUAUAAUAUGUGUUCUUGAAUUUUGUUUGAUGAUCGUAACUAAUUUUAAGAUUAUUGGCGGUAUUAAUUAUUUUCUGGGGAAUUUGUUUAUUUAAAUUGAUAAUACACAUUAAAUUUUAUCUAAAGUUUGUUUUAUGUAUUGCUGUUUUAUCUAUUAUUUAAAAUUUAAUAGGUUAAAUUAAUAAUAAAUUAAAAAGAUCAAGUCAAAAUGUAGAUUUCUUUAGGGAUAAAUGGGUUACUUUUGUUUAGAAAAAAUGAAACUGUAAAGGAAAAUGAAAUGGUUUUUGAUAAAAGGUUGGAUUAGGUAGUAAAAAGUUAUUAAUAGGUAUUUUUGAUAUUUUUUUGUUAAUAUGUACAUAUCGCCCGUCGCUUAGGAGUGAAUAAAUUUUUA